rnacentral:rRNA from 1 species
GAUGAACGCUGGCGGCGUGCCUAAUACAUGCAAGUCGAGCGAAUGGAUUAAGAGCUUGCUCUUAUGAAGUUAGCGGCGGACGGGUGAGUAACACGUGGGUAACCUGCCCAUAAGACUGGGAUAACUCCGGGAAACCGGGGCUAAUACCGGAUAACAUUUUGAACCGCAUGGUUCGAAAUUGAAAGGCGGCUUCGGCUGUCACUUAUGGAUGGACCCGCGUCGCAUUAGCUAGUUGGUGAGGUAACGGCUCGCCAAGGCAACGAUGCGUAGCCGACCGGAGAGGGGGAUCGGCCACACUGGGACUGAGACACGGCCCAGACUCCUACGGGAGGCAGCAGUAGGGAAUCUUCCGCAAUGGACGAAAGUCUGACGGAGCAACGCCGCGUGAGUGAUGAAGGCUUUCGGGUCGUAAAACUCUGUUGUUAGGGAAGAACAAGUGCUAGUUGAAUAAGCUAGCACCUUGACGGUACCUAACCAGAAAGCCACGGCUAACUACGUGCCAGCCGCCGCCGUAA